rnacentral:rRNA from 1 species
GAGCGCCCCGCAAGGGGAGCGGCAGACGGGAGAGUAACACGUGGGAACGUGCCCUUUGGUUCGGAACAACACAGGGAAACUUGGGCUAAUACCGGAUACGUCCGUAAGGAGAAAGAUUUAUCGCCAAAGGAUCGGCCCGCGUCUGAUUAGCUUGUUGGUGAGGUAACGGCUCACCAAGGCUACGAUCAGUAGCUGGUCUGAGAGGAUGAUCAGCCUCACUGGGACUGAGACACGGCCCAGACUCCUACGGGAGGCAGCAGUGGGGAAUAUUGGACAAUGGGCGCAAGCCCGAUCCAGCCAUGCCGCGUGGAUGAUGAAGGCCCUAGGGUUGUAAAAUCCUUUCGACGGGGAAGAUAAUGACGGUACCCGUAGAAGAAGCCCCGGCUAACUUCGUGCCAGCAGCCGCGGUAAUACGAAGGGGGCUAGCGUUGCUCGGAAUCACUGGGCGUAAAGCGCACGUUGGCGGCUUUUUAAGUCAGAGGUGAAAUCCUGGAGCUCAACUCCAGAACUGCCUUUGAUACUGGAGAGCUUGAGUCCGGGAGAGGUGAGUGGAACUGCGAGUGUAGAGGUGAAAUUCGUAGAUAUUCGCAAGAACACCAGUGGCGAAGGCGGCUCACUGGCCCGGUACUGACGCUGAGGUGCGAAAGCGUGGGGA